rnacentral:rRNA from 1 species
UACGGAGGGUGCAAGCGUUAUCCGGAAUCACUGGGUUUAAAGGGUGCGUAGGCGGUCUGAUAAGUCAGUAUUGAAAGGCUGGAGCUUAACUCCGGGACUGGUAUUGAUACUGUCAGACUUGAAUCAGGUUGAGGUAGGCGGAAUGUGACAUGUAGCGGUGAAAUGCUUAGAUAUGUCAUAGAACACCGAUUGCGUAGGCAGCCUACUGGCCCUCGAUUGACGCUGAGGCACGAAAGCGUGGGGAGCAAACAGG